CCCGGGCUCCCCGGGGGCCUGGGGGCUGGAGGUCGUGCCCUCCGGGGGCCGGGGACCUGCUGGCCGGGCGGGUGCGGCGUGUGGCCGUCUGUGCCCACGCCUGCCCCCGUGACAGGGCAGGGAGCGCGUCUCCCUUGCGCCCCACUUCGCCCGCUGGAACCCGAUGGUGGCCCCUUCGUCCUAAAAAGAACGCGAACCGCAUCAGGGACCGUUCUGGCCGUAGGCAGGCUGGUUGCUUUGGAGGCGGGGGUCUCAGGAGUGUGGGGUCGGGGGCACCCAGCUAGAGAGAGACCAUAAUCGGCGGUUGUGUCCAGCUUUCGUCCCGGAAGCUUCUGUCAGACGGUGUUGACGGAUGGCUUCCAGCCUCUCAUUAGGGACCUGUGAGGAGAGGCCUCACGACCCAAUGGGAGCCCAUUUGCGGGGCGUCACCAAACCUGAAAAACAGCCCUUACCGCUCGGUCGCCAGUUGCGUGACCUUGGAUGGUCACUUAGGCAAGUCGACUUAGACUGCAGUGGAAUCGCUGUUACUGGGAGAGGGACCCCUACUAGUUCUUAACUAGUUAGAGGAUUCAGUGGUAAUUGGCUACAAUGAAAUACCUAGGAGUAAAUUCCUUCAACGAUCAAGGUUAUAACAUUCCCAGGAGAGCUGCAGCUGAGCCUGCACCCCAUCAGGCCUGCUGUUCGACUGACAGAUGAGAAAGUUGAGAGAUGAGAACAUGGGAAACACCAGACAGGAAGGCUGUCUCCUCGGAGUCCUUCUCUGUCGUUUCAUAAUCAUGAACGCAGUUUGAGUUCCAGACUUAUUAAAUAGACUUUGACUAAAGUA